rnacentral:rRNA from 1 species
AGAACGAACGCUGGCGGCAUGCCUAAUACAUGCAAGUCGAACGAACUCUUCGGAGUUAGUGGCGCACGGGUGCGUAACGCGUGGGAAUCUGCCCCUUGGUUCGGAAUAACAGUCGGAAACGACUGCUAAUACCGGAUGAUGACGAAAGUCCAAAGAUUUAUCGCCAAGGGAUGAGCCCGCGUAGGAUUAGCUAGUUGGUGAGGUAAAGGCUCACCAAGGCAACGAUCCUUAGCUGGUCUGAGAGGAUGAUCAGCCACACUGGGACUGAGACACGGCCCAGACUCCUACGGGAGCAGCAGUAGGGAAUAUUGGACAAUGGGCGAAAGCCUGAUCCAGCAAUGCGCGUGAGUGAUGAAGCCUUAGGUGUAAAGCUCUUUUACCCGAGAUGAUAAUGACAGUAUCGGAGAAUAAGCCCCGGCUAAACUCCGUAGCCAGCAGCCGC